UGGGAAUUCAAACUCAGCUUCCCAAUCUUAAAUGCAAGGUUUUUGUUUGGUUGGUUGUUUGGUUUUGUUUUUCCUUUUCACGGACUGUUCAUUCCGAACACCCCUGGCCUGGGACCUGGAGCCUCAUCCCUGAUUCGCUUCCCUCGAAUUCCUUAAUGUCCACUUCUGGCUCUCCCAGUCCCUGUGCAAGUCUCCCGGUUCUGGCUGCAACUUCGCACUCCGCGCCUCUGGCAACCAGAAGAGACCCUGGCAUCUCCAAAGCGCUUUAUCUCAGUCCAUUGGAACCAGUCGUGCUGACCGAUUCACACCUCGGCUAACGCACACUCGCGGGGGUGAUGGCCUUCCCUUCCCCUCCCACCCCCGUCAGCUCCCAGUUUGGCAGGGAUCCUUAGCGGUAGAAGUGUUCAGAUGCUGGACUGAUGCAGUGACAACCUGCAAGUCCCUUUUUUCCUCUUUCCACCUUCUAGUCUCCCUCCAGUGCCUCCUCUUGGCAGAACCUAACAAGAAAUCAGCUGACAAGGGAGUCUGGGAACCAGUGUCCUGUGGUAAGUCACCAUGAUGCAAUGUUUGCCUCCAUGAUAGGCAGGCUAUUCCAGAGGCCACAGAUCAGGAAGACUCAGACCAAAUUAUGAUGAUCAAAUCACAAGGGUUAUGGAAUCUAUUUAAAGCAUAGAGCCAGAACCAAGGGGACAGAUUUACACAAGGUUGAUACACUUGGGAAUGCAAGCAGGGCAAAAGUCCUGCACAGUCUCACAGCCUCAGUCAUGUGUUUCGCUCUGCAGUGGUAUAGUUAUGAGGACCAGAACUGAGAUUGAGUAAGGGGAUCAAUAUGAGGAAGAUGCUUAGAACCAAGGUAUACUCAUUCUAUUGAGAGAUGUUUAAGGGUAGGUAGGCUUGGCCACAGGUCUUUGUCAGUGUUCUGGGAAGCCAUACUUUUUGCCAGUAUUUCUUGGGUAGAGCUUAUGGGGGGCCAGAAGGUGCCACCAGUAGGUAGUCAAUUUAGGGAUGACAUGGACACCAGCCAGAAGGUGGCAUAAUCUAUACCUCAUGGCUUAUGAUUUGUUUUUUCCUAUCCUUUUCUGCCUGUAAGUAGCACUCUUGUUUGUUCCAUCCUUUUGUAGUCUAUUCCAUUUAUUCUGUUUUACAUGUCUUGCAGGUUACUAACUUACUAUAGAUUGAGAAUCCCAAGUCUGAAAUUUGAAAUGCUCCAAAUUCUGAAACUUUUCGAGUACUGACAUGGCACUCAAAGGAAAUGCUCAUUGAGGCAUUUUGGAUUUCAGAUUUCUGGAAUGGGGUGCUCAACAUAUAAGUGUAAUGCAAGUAUUCCAAAAUCCAAAAAGUAUCCCGGAUAAGGGAUACUCCAUCCUGCAUUUUUAGCACAUCUUCUGAAUUCUGCCUAUGUCUCACAAAUGACUUGCUUACUUUGUAUCUAUAGUUAAUACAUCUGAUGAGUUUCACCCACCUGCUUUUCUUGUCCUCUGUAUGAAACUGAAUAUUCUCAUGUAACAGAGCAAACACACAUUGUAGCCAGUAUUAUAGAGAAAAGUACAGAGGAGUAGGUUGGGGCUGAGGGAGACAAAAUAAAUAACUAGCAGAAAACCAGUUUUAUGUAUUUUUCAUACAGCUAACCAUUUUCCUAGUUGCAUUUACUGAGUAGUCUCUUCUUUCCCUUCUGACCUGACAUGCCAUUUCUGUCGUGUUCCACAUUUCAUACGUAUGUGGGUCUGGCUCUAGGCUCUCUAGCAUUGGUCAGUAUGGACACCCCAAGUGCCUUCGCCAUUGCCUUAUUUACUGUAGCAUUAAAUAAGUUCAGACAUCUGUAGGGCAAGUUUUCCUCUCCCAAAUUGUCUUCAGAAAUGCCCUGACUAUUCUUGGCUCUUUGUUCUUCCAAAUAAUAAUAAUAAUAUACAAUUUUAUAAAUGCUUAUCAGAUUUCCUUCCAAAACAGCCUUUUGGAUUUUGAUCAAAAUUCCUCCAUAGAUCAACCUGGGGAGAACGGAAUCUUUCCUUCAGAGAACUUGGUAUAUAUCUCCAUUGUUUGAGUCUUCAUUAAAGUUUAUAAUUUUCCCUGUAAUGGUUUUAAUUCAUUCAUUAUUGUUAAGUGAUAAAUUCAUUUAAUUCAUUGUUAGAUUUAUUCCUAGGUAAUUUAUGUCCUCUAAGACUAUGGCAAAUAUUAUCUUCUUUUUAAUUAUUUUUGUUGCUGGUGUAUGAAAUUGCAAUUUAUUGUUUUAUAUUAAUCUUUUAUUGAGCUACCUUAUUAACUUAUCUUAUUAGAUUGAAGUAUUUCUAGAUUAUUUUGGGUUUUAUAUGUAAAUGAUCAUAUCACAAGCAAAUAGUGAUAAUUUUAUGUUUCCUUCCCAAUCCUUCUGCAACUGAUUUGUUUUACUUAAGUUAAUAUACUGGCAAGAACAUCUAAGGAUAGAAAGGAGUGGUGAUCAUGCACAUCCUCACCUCAUUCCAGAUUUUGAAGUGUAAGCUUCUAAUGUUUCCACAUUUGCUUAAUUUUUUAAAUGUGCUUUUUAUUUAUUUAGUUAUCAUUUUUAAAUUAUUAUUUUAUCUUAGA